UCAUUCAUUAGUUAUUGAGGUUUAAUUUUGUUAUAGAAAUUACUAGGAUUUGGUUAGGAUUUGGUUUAGGAUUUAGGACUAGGGUUAGAAUUUGGUUAGGAUUUGAUUUAGAGUUAGAGUUUAGUUAGGAUUUGGUUAGGGUUUGAUUUAGGAUUAGGAUUUGGUUUAGGGUUUAGGAUUUGAUUUAGGAUUUAGUUAGGAUUUGAUUCAAGAUUAGGAUUUGAUUAGGAUUUGAUUUAAGAUUAGGAUUUAGGAUUUGGUUAGGAUUUGAUUUAGAAUUACGGUUUGAUUUAGGAUUUAGGAUUUUCUUAGGGUUUAAGAUUUGGUUAGGAUUUGAUCAGGAUUUGAUUCAGGAUUUAGGAUUUUAUUUGAGUUUAUUUAGGAUUUAAGAUUUAGUUAGUUUUUGGCCUAAAGUUUGAAUGAAAUAAGAUUUCAACUAGGAUUAAAUUAAGAUUGAAUUGAGAUGUAUUUGAAAUAUGUUUGUAAUCAUUCUAAUAUUUCUUUAAGUUUUCUUAUUGUUUCUUUGGAAUUCCUUUGAAGUUUAUCUGAAUUUGAUUAAAUCUUAUUUAGCAUUAUUAGUAUUCUAUUAAAAUUAGGAUUUUGUUGUUACAAUUUCUAUUCUACCUUCUACAGUCAGGUGCCCAGAGCAUUCUCAAGCAAGACUUCACGUAUUACGACAACGUGUGCCACAUAAUUAGCUUGCUCUUCAAGCUACCUACACGUGUAACAUGUAGCUAACUUGUUGAGCAAGUU
rnacentral:lncRNA from 1 species